rnacentral:tRNA from 1 species
UACAUUUUAGUGUAAGGAGCACAGAAAUUUUUGAAAUUUCAAGUGUGCAGUUUAAUUCUGUUAAAUGUAA